rnacentral:rRNA from 1 species
GACGAACGCUGGCGGCGUGCCUAAUACAUGCAAGUCGAACGAAGCUGUUUUAACUGGUGCUUGCACCGACUUAAACAACUGAGUGGCGAACGGGUGAGUAACACGUGGGUAACCUGCCCCAAAGCGGGGGAUAACAUUUGGAAACAGAUGCUAAUACCGCAUAACCACAGAAACCACAUGGUUUCUGUGUCAAAGAUGGUUUCGGCUAUCACUUUGGGAUGGACCCGCGGCGUAUUAGCUAGUUGGUAAGGUAAUGGCUUACCAAGGCAAUGAUACGUAGCCGAACUGAGAGGUUGAUCGGCCACAUUGGGACUGCGACACAGCCCAAACUCCUACGGGAGGCAGCAGUAGGGAAUCUUCCACAAUGGACGAAAGUCUGAUGGAGCAACGCCGCGUGAGUGAAGAAGGUUUUCGGAUCGUAAAACUCUGUUGUCAGAGAAGAACGUGUGCGAGAGUAACUGUUCGUGCAGUGACGGUAUCUGGCCAGAAAGCCACGGCUAACUACGUGCCAGCCGCCGCGGUAA